CUCUUCCUACGGGGGGCAGCAGUAGGGAAUCUUCCACAAUGGACGAAAGUCUGAUGGAGCAACGCCGCGUGAGUGAAGAAGGGUUUCGGCUCGUAAAGCUCUGUUGGUAGUGAAGAAAGAUAGAGGUAGUAACUGGCCUUUAUUUGACGGUAAUUACUUAGAAAGUCACGGCUAACUACGUACCAGCAGCCACGGUAAUACGUAGGUGGCAAACGUUGUCCGGAUUUAUUGGGCGUAAAGCGAGUGCAGGCGGUUCAAUAAGUCU
rnacentral:rRNA from 1 species